CAGCGAGGCCAGAUGCAGUACACAGCAGAUUAUUGGGGCUGCCUGCAAAGAACUGGGUGUGAAUGAUGCAGAGAAACUUGUACCUGCAAUACAACAGCUACUAAGGCACAUGGCCAGGAACUACACAGUGGAACAGGAUGUGCCAUUGGUGAUGCAGCAGAAUAGGAAUAUCCAGAUAACUGCCUCACAUUUGGAUGCAGCAUCAUGUGCCAGCACAUUUCAAGGGAAACAGCAGACACAACCAAACAACAUACUGACUGAGA